rnacentral:misc_RNA from 1 species
UCGCGGCUUAUCACCGGCAGUCCCCUUAGAGUGCCCAACUGAAUGAUGGCAACUAAGGGCGAGGGUUGCGCUCGUUGCGGGACUUAACCCAACACCUCACGGCACGAGCUGACGACAGCCAUGCAGCAUCUGUGCACGGACCCGAAGGAGACCGGCUUUCACCGGCUGUCCCGUGCAUGUCAAGCCCUGGUAAGGUUCUUCGCGUAGCUUCGAAUUAAACCGCACGCUCCGCUGCUUGUGCGGGCCCCCGUCAGUUGUACUUUUCUGGCGAGACUGCUGGGAGCAACCCAGAGGAAGGUGGGGAUGACGUCAAGGUACGGAC